UAGGGAAUAUUAGUAAUGGGCGCAAGCCUGAACUAGCAACGCCGCGUGUGCGAAGAAGGCCUUCGGGUUGUAAAGCACUUUUUGAGAGGACGAGGAAGGACGGUACUCUCAGAAUAAGUCUCGGCUAACUACGUGCCAGCAGCCGCGGUAACACGUAGGAGGCGAACGUUAUCCGGAUUUACUGGGCGUAAAGCGCGUGUAGGUGGUUUGGUAAGUAGGGCGUGAAAGCUCCUGGCUCAACUGGGAGAGGCCGUUCUAAACUGCCG
rnacentral:rRNA from 1 species